rnacentral:pre_miRNA from 1 species
GCCUAGGUCCCAAGAGCCUGACUUGUGAUGUUACUAAAAUACCUCACAAGUUAGGGUCUCAGGGACUAGG